rfam:Lachnospiraceae bacterium strain KH1P17 genome assembly, contig: Ga0059119_101
UGAUGACAGGGUUAAAAAGUCCAAAGCCGAACGUGCUUGCACGAUGAGGAUUAGGACUUUGGAACCCGCAGGACGCGAGCACGAAGCGUGAAAACGCGAAGUGCGAGGGCCCUAGGAUUGCGAGAGCUGCAUAAGCAGCGGAGCAAUCCGUGUCAUCA